CCCGGCGUGCACGCGGAGGCCGGGCUCACCGAGGGGAGAAUGACAGAAGCAGCCACGGCAGACCACUCCUGUCCAUAUGUGGGUGCACGUGAGUGUGGGACUCCAGAAGAGGAGCCAGACCCAAUCCGGUCGCAGCGCCUUCUAGCCCGAGACAGCCGCUGACGCCGCAGCGCCCUCCUGCGUCUGCAGCCAGCUCCGCAUUCAGUUCAUCCAAACGCUGCUUCCCUAGGAUUCCUACCUGGGCUCGGCUCAGGGCUGCCGGACCGACAGACACCGCGCCCGCCCUGGCGCGGAGCUGCGCCGCCCGCAGACUGGACUUCCAGCAAUGUGACGGGCUCUCGAUCUGUGCCACUCACAGCCAUGGCAAGUGCUUCAAGCUGCACUGGUGCUGUCACCUAGGAUGAUGACACUUGCCACACUGAAGAACUUCCUCACCCCACCUGUCAUCCAUCUCCUGCUGUCUGGAGCAUUUCCUGUACACAGGGCCCUGAGCUAGAUGCUGGGAAUACAGCAUUGAAGAAGAGAGCCACGAUUUCUGCUCUCCUGGCAGUCUGGCUGCACUCCAUGGAAUAAAACUACAGAGAGCUGUAUAGACAAUAUGAUCAAAGCCAUUGUGAUUUCCAGAACAGAUGGAAUGUUCUGUGCAGGUAACGCUUGUCUGACCCUCUCCCUUUAUCUCUAGUAUCCAGCCACAGACUGAGAUCAAUACUGCAUUAGCUGUCCCUCUUAGUAAUAACUUAGUGUGGUUAACAGAUAGAGGGGACUAGAGAGGGACUGAG